UUGAGAGUUUGAUCCUGGCUCAGAACGAACGCUGGCGGCAGGCCUAACACAUGCAAGUCGAGCGCACCUUCGGGUGAGCGGCGGACGGGUUAGUAACGCGUGGGAACAUACCCUUUACUAAGGAAUAGCCACUGGAAACGGUGAGUAAUACCUUAUACGCCCUUCGGGGGAAAGAUUUAUCGGUAAAGGAUUGGCCCGCGUUAGAUUAGAUAGUUGGUGGGGUAACGGCCUACCAAGUCUACGAUCUAUAGCUGGUUUUAGAGGAUGAUCAGCAACACUGGGACUGAGACACGGCCCAGACUCCUACGGGAGGCAGCAGUGGGGAAUCUUAGACAAUGGGCGCAAGCCUGAUCUAGCCAUGCCGCGUGAGUGAUGAAGGCCUUAGGGUCGUAAAGCUCUUUCGCCAGAGAUGAUAAUGACAGUAUCUGGUAAAGAAACCCCGGCUAACUCCGUGCCAGCAGCCGCGGUAAUACGGAGGGGGUUAGCGUUGUUCGGAAUUACUGGGCGUAAAGCGUACGUAGGCGGAUUAGUCAGUCAGAGGUGAAAUCCCAGGGCUCAACCCUGGAACUGCCUUUGAUACUGCUAGUCUUGAGUUCGAGAGAGGUGAGUGGAAUUCCAAGUGUAGAGGUGAAAUUCGUAGAUAU
rnacentral:rRNA from 1 species